CAGGGAAAGGGAAAUCUGUAAACACUGGCCGUUGAAGAAUACGGUUUCUGAGAAUUUCCACUCUGAAUUCACAUUCCGUUCAGUGUUAUCGCCACCCUGUGGAUUUCUUGGCUACCUCGCUGGCUUUGAGCACAACCCAGGAAGAAGUUUGAAACCAAGAAAAUGGUGGUUGGGAAGACCAGGAUGCGCAAUGGCAAGAAUUAAUCAGACUGAUGAAAGAAAACAUUGUAAUAUGUAUAGCUCCUCCACGAAAAGUGUGUGCUGACAACUCUGGAAUACACAGUAGGCACCCAAUACAUACAAGGGAGUAAAUGAAUGAAUUAAAGCUGUCUGUAUCUGCUGAUCAUCCACAAUUUAGACGUCCUAUACUACAUUCCAAUUGAGGGCAAGCGGGGUACGUGUCCUGAAUUUAUAGAAUCUUUUGACACAAAGCAAGAGAGCCACAGUCAAGACUCAAGUCAAAAGAAAUUUAGACCCCAUCUGGGCAAACAGGCCUCUAAGCAACAAUCUAAGAUUUCCACCUAUUGUUCUGGCAUUCCUUGUAUAAAUGAUUAUGACUGCAGAGAUCUUAGGAAGUGCUGUGGUACCUUUAGAUGUGGCCUGAGGUGCAUACAUCCUCUUAUGAUUGGCCCUGUAUUUUUCAAUUCACCUCCACAAUCCAAGGCAUAAAUAUUGGAUGGAGAAAUGGAUUCAGAUGGAGGCAUCAUUGAGCUUAUUCUUGACUCAUCUCAGUCCAAACAUUACUCUGUCAAUCGUUGUUCUUAAAAUCUGCAUAUUAAAAGCUCAGCAUCAACUA
rnacentral:lncRNA from 1 species